GGUUAAGUGACUAAGCGUACACGGUGGAUGCCUUGGCAGUCAGAGGCGAUGAAGGACGUAGUAACUUGCGAUAAGCCCAGAUUAGGUAGUAACAACCAUUUGAGUCUGGGAUUUCCGAAUGGGGAAACCCACUUGCAUAAGCAAGUAUCGCUGCGUGAAUACAUAGCGCA
rnacentral:rRNA from 1 species